rnacentral:siRNA from 1 species
GGCUUUUGAUACGCUUGUGGA